GAUGAACGCUGGCGGCGUGCCUAAUACAUGCAAGUCGAGCGAACAGACGAGGAGCUUGCUCCUCUGACGUUAGCGGCGGACGGGUGAGUAACACGUGGAUAACCUACCUAUAAGACUGGGAUAACUUCGGGAAACCGGAGCUAAUACCGGAUAAUAUAUUGAACCGCAUGGUUCAAUAGUGAAAGACGGUUUUGCUGUCACUUCUAGAUGGAUCCGCGCCGCAUUAGCUAGUUGGUAAGGUAACGGCUUACCAAGGCAACGAUGCGUAGCCGACCUGAGAGGGUGAUCGACCACACUGGAACUGAGACACGGUCCAGACUCCUACGGGAGGCAGCAGUAGGGAAUCUUCCGCAAAGGGCGAAAGCCUGACGGAGCAACGCCGCGUGAGUGAUGAAGGUCUUCGGAUCGUAAAACUCUGUUAUUAGGGAAGAACAAAUGUGUAAGUAACUAUGCACGUCUUGACGGUACCUAAUCAGAAAGCCACGGCUAACUACGUG
rnacentral:rRNA from 1 species